UCUUCCGUAGUAUAGUGGUCAGUAUAUGAGCUUGUCAUCAUCAAUUUCUCCGCCCACCCAGUUUGGCCCGAUCGACGACAUCCGCUCGGGACCCGGGUUCAAUUCCCGGCGGGAGAG